rnacentral:rRNA from 1 species
AGAAUGAACGCUGGCGGCGUGCUUUACACAUGCAAGUCGAGCGAGGCGGGGAGCAAUCCCCAGUCGAGCGGCGAACGGGUGAGUAACGCGUGGAUAACCUACCUCGAGGUGGGGGGAUAACCCGGGGGAAACUCGGGCUAAUACCGCAUAUGACUGUAAGGUCAAAGGGGGGCCGCAAGGCUCUCGCCAUGAGAGGGGUCCGCGUACGAUUAGCUAGUUGGUAGGGUAAUGGCCUACCAAGGCGACGAUCGUUGGCCGGCCUGAGAGGGUGAGUCGGCCGACACUGGAACUGAGAUACGGUCCAGACUCCUACGGGAGGCAGCAGUGGGGAAUUUGCGCAAUGGGCGAAAGCCUGACGCAGCAACGCCGCGUGGAGGAUGGAAGGUCUUUGGAUUGUAAACUCCUGUCAGCGAGGAAAAGGACCAGCCUCAUACGCUAGUUCUUGAUUGUACUGCAGAGACGCCCGCUAACUCUGUCGCCAGCAGCCGAC